GACGAACGCUGGCGGCGUGCCUAAUACAUGCAAGUAGAACGCUGAAGGAGGAGCCUGCUCUUCUGGAUGAGUUGCGAACGGGUGAGUAACGCGUAGGUAACCUGCCUGGUAGCGGGGGAUAACUAUUGGAAACGAUAGCUAAUACCGCAUAACAUUGACUAUUGCAUGAUAGUCAAUUGAAAGGUGCAAUUGCACCACUACCAGAUGGACCUGCGUUGUAUUAGCUAGUUGGUGGGGUAACGGCUCACCAAGGCGACGAUACAUAGCCGACCUGAGAGGGUGAUCGGCCACACUGGGACUGAGACACGGCCCAGACUCCUACGGGAGGCAGCAGUAGGGAAUCUUCGGCAAAUGGGGGGAAACCCCUGACCGAGCAAACGCCCGCGUGAAGUGAAAGAAAGGUUUUUCGGAUCGUAAAAGCUUCUGU
rnacentral:rRNA from 1 species